AUCCACACUCUUUCUCUAACUGCUUCUUCUCUUAGCUUCCACUUGCCAUUUCCACAUUACCAUCAUUCAUUCAGUGUCGCAAUGGGUAGGGUUCCCCAUCUAGAGCUGGGAAGUCCGAUGUUUUACAGGGAACUGGUGGCGGGAUUCGCCCUAGGUCUUUGUGCUGCCUUUACCUGGAAGAAAGAGCACAAGGACAUGCAGAAGAAAACUAAGUCCAUCUAUCAGCAGCUCGACACUGGUGAAAUUUCUGUUGUUGCUCAAGACUACUAGUGUGACUUUUUUAUUUUUUUUUUUCAUUUCAUCACUGCAUUUUAUAGUUUAUUUAUUUCUUUAUUCCAAGAUAAUAAUAAUAAUAAUAAGCAAGCAUGGGUUUUGCUUGGAAAAAUUUUAAUGAA